ensembl:lncRNA
UUUUAAGUUAAAAUUAAAUUUUUAAAAUACAUUAAAAAUGUAUCAUUUUUUAUGAUUUCCUGUUUUAACUUUUUUGAUUAAACAACCAACUAACAGUCUUGACUUCAUUGGGUAAAAGAGUUUCUACUGUGUGUAUAUGCAUGUUUGUAUGUAUGAAAAGGGAACUAAAGAGUACUAGUGUGUGUGUGUGCAACUGUGUGUGUGUGUUCACACAGAUGUACUUAUGCACACUAUCUAGUGGUCAGCAGUCAGGAAAUGCAUCUGUAAUAAAGUGGCAUUUGACCGGAAAUCUGAAGGAAGGAAGUCAACCAUGGAGCUCUCUGAGGGAGGAACAUUUCAGGCAAAGAGAACAGCAAGUACAAAGGACCCAGGACUUCUCCAUGAAGACUUUCUAGACUUGUCUAUUCAAAGCCAACAGUGAACUUCUCCUGAAAAAGGGUUAUAUCAAUUUUAACUUUGUAUCCAAAGCAUGAGAACAAUGUGCUCCUGGAACAUAGUUUCUUCUGAGAUUUGUUGAUGAAUAAAGGAAAAGAAAUAACUGGAUAGGAAAGCUGUUCAUUUGUUUACCUUGUCAUCUUAACAGUCUGUUCAAAUAAUUUUGCCCAAUAUUUUUCAUUAUAUAACAACUAACCCUUAAGGACGUCUCCCAAGCCCAAACUAUCUCAAAAUAAUUAAAAUCGCAAUUGAAUUUAGGGAUGAGCUUAGUAUAGAAAUAGCCGCAGUAGUUGUUUCUAUUUGCUUGAACUCCACAAUGAGCUGUUUCAUGCUUCUUCACAUUUGAGAUAAUACUUCAAAUUUAUACCCACAAUGAAAUAAAGGCUUAAAAAUAAUCUGAUAUGACUUUUGAACCAUAAAAUUACUAGACUGGGUGGAGGGCUCAUUUUCUUCACAAAUUCAUUGUUCAUUUGGUACUCAUUCAUGCAAAUGUUGUAAUCUGUUUUAAAACCACUUCUAAGCUUUAAGAAAAAAAGAAAUAUAUAUAUAGUCAUGUAAACGAGGCUCUGGAAACUCUGCCUUCUGUUAAUCUUAAUAUCCUGAUGCAUUUUAUUCUGAAUAUUUUUAAGUUAUUUACUGCCAAAAAUAAUAUUAACACUUAUUCAAUAUCACUGUUUCAUGGCACCAGGCCUCAUGUGUAUCUAAAUACCUUUUUAAUCUUAUUCUUCGCUUGUAUAGAAUAUUUUAUUUCAAGGCCUGAAAUUUAUUUUUCUCAUGGAAUAAAAACAUCUUUGUUUGCUCUUUACUAUUUAAUUACAUUUUUCCUAUUCCAUACAAUUGUCAUCUAAUUGCAUUUGUUUCUGAUUGCUAAUCCAGUUAUGUUAGCAAGAAGAUGAAAUCUAUAGGAUAUUCUGGUUUGUGUAAUAAGCAAAAAUUGUCAAGUGUUGUGUGCUUCUGUCACAGAGAGACUGAUCUGCUAAAAAAAAUCUUUAUAAGUUAAGUUUAUUUUUUAUAGGUAAAAACAGUAAAGAGAGAAAUGGAGAAAACAAGUUAGCGAUCUAGAAUGAAUUCUCUCUAUUAAGGAAUAAGAAUAAAACUUUCAUAGAACUUAC